UAUUAUUUCCAUAUAUUGCUUUUAAAGUGGAAAAUACAUUUGUUUUUCUCUCAUAGAAGGAUCCAUGUUGCUUUAAUUGCCCUAUUGGCACAAUUAUUUCGCACAAGAAGGCUUCUUAAACUUGCAUUAUAUCUUCCUGACUUCUCAAAUCAUUCUAUUAAACUCGGGGGAAAUGAGCACAGUUGAGGCAUAGCCGAGGGAAAGGUUAGUUCGGAGAUAAAAUCGAAAUUCGACGGAAUAACGUCACGGAGCGUGUCAAUGUUGACAAGUGGCGUCGAACGAACAGUAAGAAAAAAUCGGCCUUGACACAAGAACGCGAUUGGAUCUUCACGUCGAGCCCGACGAUUCGGUUUGUUGGAUAAGGCAACGUUCCGUUAAGGUUAAUUCGCUCUCGGUGGUACACAUUGAACCGUCGUUUCCCCGAUCAAGUUCUCUCUUUCUCUCUGCCGCGAUGAUCGCUCGCCCGCGGCGAGUUUUGUUUAUUACCUGAAUCUCGUCGGCGAUCUCUUGCUCGGUUUUUGCGCGCUUUACGUCGGAGUCGGGGCGCUCUGCCCGACGUUUCUCCAGCGUCGUCGUCGUCGUCGCCGUCGUCGGUGAAAGGGCGGCGAGAAUCGACGGCGGUUGGCGCGCGUAGAACAAUACACGCGUGUGCGCGUAAAAAAAUACUCGACGCCCUCGACGGAAUCACGGAAAUUCCAAUGAAUUCCAAACAACCUUUUCUAAACGGAACUCCGUAAAAAGUGUCCGUUACCGCGCGCGCUGUACCGUACUUUGCGUUGAUACCACUGUUU